UGUGAAGCUCUCCACAGAUAACAGUGGUGACAGCACCAUGUUCUUCAGUGAUGGCGGGCAGUGAUGGAGGGUGCCAUGUGAAGCUCUCCACAGAUAACAGUGGUGACAGCACCAUGUUCUUCAGUGAUGGCGGGCAGUGAUGGAGGGUGCCAUGUGAAGCUCUCCACAGAUAACAGUGGUGACAGCACCAUGUUCUUCAGUGAUGUUGGGCAGUGAUGGAGGGUGCCAUGUGAAGCUCUCCACAGAUAACAGUGGUGACAGCAUCAUGUUCUUCAGUGAUGUUGGGCAGUGAUGGAGGGUGCCAUGUGAAGCUCUCCACAGAUAACAGUGGUGACAGCACCAUGUUCUUCAGUGAUGGCAGGCAGUGAUGGAGGGUGCCAUGUGAAGCUCUCCACAGAUAACAGUGGUGACAGCACCAUGUUCUUCAGUGAUGUUGGGCAGUGAUGGAGGGUGCCAUGUGAAGCUCUCCACAGAUAACAGUGGUGACAGCACCAUGUUCUUCAGUGAUGUUGGGCAGUGAUGGAGGGUGCCAUGUGAAGCUCUCCACAGAUAACAGUGGUGACAGCAUCAUGUUCUUCAGUGAUGUUGGGCAGUGAUGGAGGGUGCCAUGUGAAGCUCUCCAGAGAUAACAGUGGUGACAGCACCAUGUUCUUCAGUGAUGUUGGGCAGUGAUGGAGGGUGCCAUGUGAAGCUCUCCACAGAUAACAGUGGUGACAGCACCAUGUUCUUCAGUGAUGUUGGGCAGUGAUGGAGGGUGCCAUGUGAAGCUCUCCACAGAUAACAGUGGUGACAGCACCAUGUUCUUCAGUGAUGGCAGGCAGUGAUGGAGGGUGCCAUGUGAAGCUCUCCAGAGAUAACAGUGGUGACAGCAUCAUGUUCUUCAGUGAUGGCAGGCAGUGAUGGAGGGUGCCAUGUGAAGCUCUCCAGAGAUAACAGUGGUGACAGCACCAUGUUCUUCAGUGAUGGCGGGCAGUGAUGGAGGGUGCCAUGUGAAGCUCUCCACAGAUAACAUGGUGACAGCACCAUGUUCUUCAGUGAUGGCGGGGGCCCUCACCAGUCUUCUUCAUUAAGCUUCUGUCUUCCUGCUUCAGGCUGCAAUCAAACAGUUGUUUAGUACCACAUUAAUAUGUUUGGGGCAGAUUGAAUUAUAGCUAACAUAGUAUACUGUUUGAUUGAAUAUUUGAAAGAAUCAAACCUAAACUAACAUACUGUUUGAUUGAAUAUUUGAAAGAAUCAAACCUAAACUAACAUACUGUUUGAUUGAAUAUUUGAAAGAAUCAAACCUAAACUAACAUACUGUUUGAUUGAAUAUUUGAAAGAAUCAAACCUAAACUAACAUACUGUUUGAUUGAAUAUUUGAAAGAAUCAAACCUAAACUAACAUACUGUUUGAUUGAAUAUUUGAAAGAAUCAAACCUAAACUAACAUACUGUUUGAUUGAAUAUUUGAAAGAAUCAAACCUAAACUAACCAGGUUACCCCAUUCCCAAGCUUGCAGGGUAGGCACUGAAAAAGGUAGAUUGAAAAACAGAACUGUAUUACUAACCUAAAUGAAUGUAUUAUUCUAGUGUUUGUGUUAGAGAUAGGUUUACUGUUCAACAGGAUGAGGUUGGGUUGUUAAGUUUGAAAAUGGCUCUUAAUGAAGCAGUAAUAGGUUACUAUUUUGUCUGUGAUUGUUAAAUUAUUAGCAUGUGUAAAAGCUACAACUGCUAUAUGCUACAUAGUAAUAUUCUAUGUAUCUAUAUAUCUUUCCCUUUGCCCUAAUUAAAGGUUAAAUUCAAUAUCAAUGAAAAAUUUCUGCUCUUAUAAAUUGUCAAGAUGAGUUGUAGCCUAUUCCUAACUGAUCAGAAUUAGUUUGCAUCCUGAGAACACGUGAUUGAUGUAGUAUUUGUUUCAAUAGGCUAGAAAUUUAUCAUUUAAAUCAACACAAGGUUAUGUUAGCCAGUCAUUCAUUACAUAUGUUUUUCUUUAGUUUGAGACAAGGUUAUGUUAGCCAGUCAUUCAUUACAUGUUUUUCUUUAGUUUGAGACAAGGUUAUGUUAGCCAGUCAUUCAUUACAUAUGUUUUUCUUUAGUUUGAGACAAGGUUAUGUUAGCCAGUCAUUCAUUACAUGUGUUUUUCUUUAGUUUGAGACAAGGUUAUGUUAGCCAGUCAUUCAUUACACAUGUUUUUCUUUAGUUUGACACAAGGUUAUGUUAGCCAGUCAUUCAUUACAUGUGUUUUUCUUUAGUUUGAGACAAGGUUAUGUUAGCCAGUCAUUCAUUACAUAUGUUUUUCUUUAGUUUGAGACAAGGUUAUGUUAGCCAGUCAUUCAUUACAUUCAUUUGACUAGCUUCCAUAACCUUCUCUCGAUGGACAGAAGUGACAAAACAAAUGACUAACAUAACCUGGUCUCAGUGUUACAAAGGGCAGAGCAAGUUAAUAGUGACAGAAAUAAGCAUUACAAAAGAUUUAGCAACCGAAGGGACAGGAGUACGCAUUGCUACAGAUGACACAGUAACCCAAGUGUGAUAGGGAUUGUAAUGUUACGGAAGAUAUGGUGACGUAAGUGACGAGGACCGAGCGUUACAGACAGCGUAGUGACUUAAGCAUGACAGGGAUUGUAGAAAGAUUGUGGAAUGAUUGUAUAAAAAAAGAUACAGUAACUCAGCAGUGACAUAGAUACGUAAUGUUACUGAGGACAUGGUAACUUACGUGUGAUGAGGAUCGUAAUGUUGCAGAUGAACUAACAAUAAUUUAAGUGUCAGAAUUCAUCAUGUUACAAAUGGCAUAUUAAUUUUAGUGGCAUGGAUCAGAAUGUUACAAAAUAUAUACGUAUAUUAAGUGGCACGGAUCGUAAUGUUACAAGAUACAUGGUACCCACACCGAUAUGUAUACGUAAUGUUAAAUGACAUAGUAACUUAAAUUAAAUGGAUAUAUUACGCUAAAAAAGCUUAGUAACCAAAGUGACAUGUAUACGUAAUGUUACAAAUGGCAUAGUAACAAAUGAAAUGGAUACGUAAUGUUAACAAGACUUAGUAACCGCAGUGAAUGAAUGCGUAAUGUUAACAAAACUUAGUAACCAAAGUGAAUGAAUGCGUAAUGUUAACAAGACUUAGUAACCAAAGUGAAUGAAUGCGUAAUGUUAACAAGACUUAGUAACCAAAGUGAAUGAAUGCGUAAUGUUAACAAGACUUAGUAACCAAAGUGACAUAUACGUAAUGUUAGGGAUGACACAGUAACUUAAAUAUAAUGGUUAGUAAUGUUAACAAGACUUAGUAACCAAAGUGACAUAUACGUAAUGUUAGGGAUGACACAGUAACUUAAAUAUAAUGGUUAGUAAUGUUAACAAGACUUAGUAACCAAAGUGACAUAUACGUAAUGUUAGGGAUGACACAGUAACUUCAGUAUAACAUGGAUCGUAAUGUUACAUCUACAUAAAGACGAGAAAUGAGCAUAACAGUGAGUGCCGUGUUGCCGUAAUCUUGCCUCAACGUACAGAGAUCAAAUUAACACACGACAUACAAAUUGCAGUUACUUAUACAAGCACUUCGUAGGUAAGGUUGACAAGUUAUAUUCCAUUAGUUUAAAUGACGUAAUCUCUCCUUGACAUACAGAGAUCAAAUGAACAUACGACAUACGACUGAAUUGAAGUUACUUAUACAAACAUCUCAAAGGUAAGGUUGGCAUAACUUAUAUUUUGCUAGUUUAAAUGAUGUAAUCUUCCCUUUACAUACAGAUCAAAGUAACAUACGACAUAUGAAAUGAAUUGAUGUUACUUAUACAAACAUACCAGUGAAAUGAGGUUACUUAUACAAACAUACCAGUGAAUUGAGGUUACUUAUACAAACAUACCAGUGAAAUGAGGUUACUUAUACAAACAUACC